AGAAUCUUUCACAAUGGGGGAAACCCUGAUGGAGCGACGCCGCGUGGGGGAUGAAGGGCUUCGGCUCGUAAACCCCUGUCAUUUGUGAACAAUGUUUCGUAGUUAAUAGCUUCGGAAUUGAUAGUAGCAGAAGAGGAAGGGACGGCUAACUCUGUGCCGGCAGCCGCGGUAAUACAGAGGUCCCGAGCGUUGUUCGGAUUCACUGGGCGUAAAGGGUGCGUAGGUGGUAAGGUAAGUUUGAUGUGAAAGCUCCGAGCCCAACUCGGAAAUGGCAUUGAAAACUGCCUAACUAGAGGAUUGGAGGGGGGACUGGAAUUCUCGGUGUAGCGGUGAAAUGCGUAGAUAUCGAGAGGAACACCAGUGGCGAAGGCGAGUCCCUGGACAAAUCCUGACACUGAGGCACGAAAGCUAGGGUAGCAAAC
rnacentral:rRNA from 1 species